AUUGAACGCUGGCGGCAUGCUUUACACAUGCAAGUCGAACGGUAACAGGUUAAGCUGGCGAGUGGCGAACGGGUGAGUAAUGCAUCGGAACGUGCCCGGUCGUGGGGGAUAACGCAGCGAAAGCUGCGCUAAUACCGCAUACGAUCUGAGGAUGAAAGCGGGGGACCGUAAGGCCUCGCGCGAUCGGAGCGGCCGAUGUCAGAUUAGGUAGUUGGUGGGGUAAAGGCUCACCAAGCCGACGAUCUGUAGCUGGUCUGAGAGGACGACCAGCCGCACGUGGACUGAGACACGGCCCAGACUCCUACGGGAGGCAGCAGUGGGGAAUUGUGGACAAUGGGCGCAAGCCUGAUCCAGCAAUGCCGCGUGCAGGAAGAAGGCCUUCGGGUUGUAAACUGCUUUUGUACGGAGCGAAAAGGCUCUCUCUAAUACAGGGGGCUCAUGACGGUACCGUAAGAAUAAGCACCGGCUAACUACGUGCCAGCCGCCGCAGUAA
rnacentral:rRNA from 1 species